AAGAAAAAUAUUGGUAUUGGGGGAAAUUAGCCUCAAAUGUUGUAAUAUUCAUAAUAAUCUUUAAAGAAAGCUAUACUUAUUCAUGUUUCAGAAUAUCUUUUGAAGCUAUACAGAAAAUUUCUACCAAAACAGAUCCUCAAUGAAAGUCAGGAAAAAGAAUUCCUGAGAAACCCCACAGAUAACAUUUCCUAACUGGCUCUAACAUAUUUUGUACAGUACAGAGUUAAAUUUUAGCAGGGAGGGGACAAUACUAGACAUUUGCUCUGUAGAGCACAUACAUAUUACCAUAUCAAACACAUACACAGACUCACAUGAAGUUCUACCUCAGUAACAGUGACCUUUGAUUCACAGACUAUCUAUAGAUCUGCACAUCUUUGCCUCAUAAAGAGAAUGAUUCUGCCAGUAAGCCUUUUGAGCAAAGCGAUCUCUACGGAUUGAGGUAUGAUGCAACACCACUGCCAUCUAUUGCCAUGCAGCUCUCUACAGUUCAUGGCUGGACCCUCUACCCAAGAGGGGAGCAUCACACCUGCCCCACCACCAUCCUGGAUCCGUGCAUCUGCAAGCACUGGUGGGUCUACACGGACUUGCUGAGGGAGCACCUAGUGGCCCUGCAGGACCUGAACAGGACCCUCCAGCAGAGGAUGGAGACAGAGGCUGAGUGGCGCACCAGGCUGCUGGAUGAGGUGGUCCAGUAGCUCAUGGAGAUCUGUGCAACAAUGAGCGAGGUCCUCGGCUUGCCUGCCCCACCACUGGCACCGCUCCUCCUGCAUGCCAGGCCCCUGCUCCCUCAGC